UAGCGCUAAGGGCAAACCUGUCUAAAGACAGGGACGCAAUGCCAUAGGGUCUAAGGUACUUACCCGUACUAUGAUAGCCUGGCUGCCGCA
rnacentral:ncRNA from 1 species